rfam:Erinaceus europaeus unplaced genomic scaffold scaffold00035, whole genome shotgun sequence
AAAAAAGACUUCUGUUGUGAGUGGCACAUAUAUAGGGCAGCUCUUAUCUCUGUGUGUGGAACUGACAUCAGGAGAUUUUGGAAGCAUAAGUUUUUGUAGUACUCAGGGAGCUAAUCAUUAUUGGUAAUGUAUCUGACA